rnacentral:rRNA from 1 species
UGUGUGUUAGUGGAAGCGUCUGGAAAGGCGCGCGAUACAGGGUGACAGCCCCGUACACAAAAAUGCACAUGCUGUGAGCUCGAUGAGUAGGGCGGGACACGUGGUAUCCUGUCUGAAUAUGGGGGGACCAUCCUCCAAGGCUAAAUACUCCUGACUGACCGAUAGUGAACCAGUACCGUGAGGGAAAGGCGAAAAGAACCCCGGCGAGGGGAGUGAAAAAGAACCUGAAACCGUGUACGUACAAGCAGUGGGAGCACGCUUAGGCGUGUGACUGCGUACCUUUUGUAUAAUGGGUCAGCGACUUAUAUUCUGUAGCAAGGUUAACCGAAUAGGGGAGCCGAAGGGAAACCGAGUCUUAACUGGGCGUUAAGUUGCAGGGUAUAGACCCGAAACCCGGUGAUCUAGCCAUGGGCAGGUUGAAGGUUGGGUAACACUAACUGGAGGACCGAACCGACUAAUGUUGAAAAAUUAGCGGAUGACUUGUGGCUGGGGGUGAAAGGCCAAUCAAACCGGGAGAUAGCUGGUUCUCCCCGAAAGCUAUUUAGGUAGCGCCUCGUGAAUUCAUCUCCGGGGGUAGAGCACUGUUUCGGCAAGGGGGUCAUCCCGACUUACCAACCCGAUGCAAACUGCGAAUACCGGAGAAUGUUAUCACGGGAGACACACGGCGGGUGCUAACGUCCGUCGUGAAGAGGGAAACAACCCAGACCGCCAGCUAAGGUCCCAAAGUCAUGGUUAAGUGGGAAACGAUGUGGGAAGGCCCAGACAGCCAGGAUGUUGGCUUAGAAGCAGCCAUCAUUUAAAGAAAGCGUAAUAGCUCACUGGUCGAGUCGGCCUGCGCGGAAGAUGUAACGGGGCUAAACCAUGCACCGAAGCUGCGGCAGCGACGCUGAUGCGUUGUUGGGUAGGGGAGCGUUCUGUAAGCCUGCGAAGGUGUGCUGUGAGGCAUGCUGGAGGUAUCAGAAGUGCGAAUGCUGACAUAAGUAACGAUAAAGCGGGUGAAAAGCCCGCUCGCCGGAAGACCAAGGGUUCCUGUCCAACGUUAAUCGGGGCAGGGUGAGUCGACCCCUAAGGCGAGGCCGAAAGGCGUAGUCGAUGGGAAACAGGUUAAUAUUCCUGUACUUGGUGUUACUGCGAAGGGGGGACGGAGAAGGCUAUGUUGGCCGGGCGACGGUUGUCCCGGUUUAAGCGUGUAGGCUGGUUUUCCAGGCAAAUCCGGAAAAUCAAGGCUGAGGCGUGAUGACGAGGCACUACGGUGCUGAAGCAACAAAUGCCCUGCUUCCAGGAAAAGCCUCUAAGCAUCAGGUAACAUCAAAUCGUACCCCAAACCGACACAGGUGGUCAGGUAGAGAAUACCAAGGCGCUUGAGAGAACUCGGGUGAAGGAACUAGGCAAAAUGGUGCCGUAACUUCGGGAGAAGG